GGGCAUAUUGGAAGCCCAAAUCCACGGGCGGUAGCGUG
rfam:Shewanella denitrificans OS217, complete genome.